UACAGAGGUCCCAAGCGUUGUUCGGAUUCAUUGGGCGUAAAGGGUGCGUAGGCGGCGCGGUAAGUCGGGUGUGAAAUCUCGGAGCUUAACUCCGAAACUGCAUUCGAUACUGCCGUGCUUGAGGACUGGAGAGGAGACUGGAAUUUACGGCGUAGCGGUGAAAUGCGUAGAUAUCGUAAGGAAGACCAGUGGCGAAGGCGGGUCUCUGGACAGUUCCUGACGCUGAGGCGCGAAAGCUGGGGGAGCAAACGGG
rnacentral:rRNA from 1 species